rnacentral:tRNA from 1 species
GGGGAUAUAGCUUAUUUGGAAGAGUGCUUGUGCCUUGCAUGCACAAGGCCCUGAGUACAAUCCCCAGCAUCACCC